rnacentral:misc_RNA from 1 species
AAGUCGUAACAAGGUCUCCGUAGGUGAACCUGCGGAGGGAUCAUUAACAAAAAUCAAAAAAAAAACACAAAUGAAUCCCAAGAACGGAACGAGCCCCAAAAGCUUUUUCUCUUUUUUCGAUUCUUUUUUGCUUUUUUUUUAAUUCAAAAAACACUUUGCGAACCAUGUGACUGACCAAGUUGUUUUUCCGACGCUCUCACGAGUCGAACGAAAUCCUUGGCUUUUUUUUCACUAACAACCAAUUUCACCAAUUUUUUCUAUGAUUUUCUCAUUGCUCGUCUGAGCAGUGAAAGAAGCACAGGAAAAGCCAAUUGAAUAUCAAAAACUGAAAAGUUGAAAAUUUAAUUUCUAAUUUUUUCUUUUUCACAAAAUAAAAAAACAAAAUUAAAGCACAACUCUUAGCAACGGAUAUCUUGGUUCUC